rnacentral:rRNA from 1 species
UAAAAAGUUCAACUUUAUAGUGAAACUGCGAACGGCUCAUUAGAGCAGAUAUAAUAUACCCGAGAUAUCUUUAGUGGAUAACUGCGGUAAAUCUGGAGCUAAUACAUGUCACAAAAGCUAGGCUCGCUUAGCUGCAGGUAUUAGUGCAAACCAAUCGUUUUCGGACGUAGUUUGCUGACUCUGAAUACCCAGUAUAUCGACGGUUUAUCCGUCGAAAGCUCGGAAUAGUGUCUGCCCUAUCAACUAGAUGGUAGUCUAUUAGACUACCAUGGUGAUAACGGGUAACGGAGAAUAAGGGUUCGGCUCCGGAGAGGGAGCCUUAGAAACGGCUACCACAUCCAAGGAAGGCAGCAGGCGCGUAACUUAUCCACUACCACAGUGAGAUAGUGACUAAAAAUAAAAAGUCCAAUCCUAACGGAUCGGAUAUUUCAAUGAAUUGAGCUUAAAUAGCUCUAUGAGGACCUAAUGGAGGGCAAGUCUGGUGCCAG